rnacentral:misc_RNA from 1 species
GAUGAAGAACGCAGUGAAAUGCGAUAAGUAAUGCGAAUUGCAGAAUUUCCGUGAGUCAUCGAAUCUUUGAACGCACAUUGCGCCCUCUGGUAUUCCGGGGGGCAUGCCUGUUCGAGCGUCAUUAUCCAUCCCUCAAACCUCGUGUUUGAUGUUGGGCUUUUCUGAACCGUCACAAGUUUAGAUGCCUCAAAGGUAAUGACGGCGUCCUCGUGGGACUCGACGCACUGAGCUUUUUUGCAAAGGCACGCGUUGUAGGAUCGCGGGUGACCCGGUCUAACUCUUAAAAAAAUUUUUACAAGGUUGACCUCGGAUCAGGUAGGGAUACCCGCUGAACUUAAGCAUAUCAAUAAGCGGAGGA